rnacentral:rRNA from 1 species
UACGUAGGGUGCAAGCGUUAAUCGGAAUUACUGGGCGUAAAGCGUGCGCAGGCGGUUGUGCAAGACAGAGGUGAAAUCCCCGGGCUUAACCUGGGAACGGCCUUUGUGACUGCACGGCUAGAGUGUGUCAGAGGGGGGUAGAAUUCCACGUGUAGCAGUGAAAUGCGUAGAGAUGUGGAGGAAUACCGAUGGCGAAGGCAGCCCCCUGGGAUAACACUGACGCUCAUGCACGAAAGCGUGGGGAGCAAACAGG